rnacentral:tRNA from 1 species
GAGCCAUUAGCUCAGUCGGUAGAGCAUCUGACUUUUAAUCAGAGGGUCGUAGGUUCGAGUCCUUCAUGGCUCA